rnacentral:rRNA from 1 species
UGCGUAGGCGGUUUUUCAAGCUUGAUGUGAAAGCCCCGGGCUUAACCUGGGAAUGGCAUUGAGGACUGAGAGGCUAGAGUGCGGCAGAGGGAGGUGGAAUUCCACGUGUAGCAGUGAAAUGCGUAGAGAUGUGGAGGAACACCGAUGGCGAAGGCAGCCUCCUGGGCCGACACUGACGCUGAGGGCACGAAAGGCGUGGGAGCAAACA